ACGAUGAACCGGUCAGCCGCGGCGGCAUCAAGAAAGCCUUCCCCAGCGGGAAGACAUGAUCGCCGUCCGAGGAAAGUCCGGGCUCCGCAGGGCAUGAUGCCGGGUAACCCCCGGGCGGGAAGGGCGAAAGCCCUCCCCGACAGAACGUGCAACAGAAAGUAUACAGCCGCCGGAGGGCGCCUGCCCUCCGGCGGUAAUGGUGAAACGGCGGGGUAAGAGCCCACCGCUAUGCCGGCAACGGCAUGGGCCGGCAAACCUCAUCAGGAGCAAAAUCAAGCGGCGCCGCAGAGGCUUCGGCAGAAUUGCCGCCGGCCUUUGCGCCGGCUGCCCGCCGGUUAAGCGCAGGUAGAUUGCCGGGGAUAUCCCCGGAGACCGUCCGUAAGGCCGGUUCAAGACAGAUGGCUGGCAGAGCUGCCCCGGAUGCAUUUCCUAAAGCAGUUCUGAUAACAGAACCCGGCUUACGGUUCAUCGUUUUU
rnacentral:RNase_P_RNA from 1 species